GUCGAACGAUGAAACUUAAAUGAAUUCUUCGGAAUGAUUUUAAUUGGAUUAGUGGCGAACGGGUGAGUAACGCGUGAGUAACCUGCCUUACACAAGGGGAUAGCCUCUGGAAACGGAGAAUAAUACCCUAUGAAACUAUCUUAUCGCAUGAAAAGAUAGUCAAAGUGUUUUAGCGGUGUAAGAUGGACUUGCGUCUGAUUAGCUAGUUGGUGAGAUAACAGCCCACCAAGGCAACGAUCAGUAGCCGGCUUGAGAGAGUGUACGGCCACAUUGGGACUGAGACACGGCCCAGACUCCUACGGGAGGCAGCAGUGGGGAAUUUUGCACAAUGGGGGCAACCCUGAUGCAGCGACGCCGCGUGAUUUAGAAGGCCUUCGGGUUGUAAAAAUCUUUUGUAUAGGAAGAAAAUGACAGUACUAUACGAAUAAGGUCCGGCUAAUUACGUGCCAGCAGCCGCGGUAAUACGUAAGGACCGAGCGUUGUCCGGAAUCAUUGGGCGUAAAGGGUACGUAGGCGGUUAGAAAAGUUAGAAGUGAAAGGCUAUAGCUCAACUAUAGUAAGCUUUUAAAACUGUUUAACUUGAGAGAUGGAAGGGAAAGUGGAAUUCCUAGUGUAGCGGUGAAAUGCGCAGAUAUUAGGAGGAAUACCGGUGGCGAAGGCGACU
rnacentral:rRNA from 2 species